CUGUACCUAGAAUAAUGCCCUCCAAGUCCAUCAUUAUAGUUAUUUUUUAAGUCCCUUUUUGAAAGCUAUUUGUACAUCUGGCCAGUCUCCUAGUUUGUUUAUUUAUUUGGAUGGUUUUCUUUCUUGAGACACAUAUUUUUUUUUCUUCAUGUAAAUAGAUUAUAUUUUCACCUGAAAGAGUUCACGUUCCUCUAAAGCUUCCAGGAUGAAAAAGAUAAUCUUAUUCUGUAAUUAGCUUGGUCUGAGCUUUGCUAUUUAUUUAACUAGAAUCACUCACCAUAGCUUUCAAGUAAUUUUAGCUCUGGGUCAAGAUCUCCCUUCAGCAGAACUUGGGAUCUGAGUCUGGCAAGACAUAAGAUAUCCUAGUCACGUGUAUUCAGGAGCAUGGGGUACAUCACUCUACCUUAUAGUCUGGAUGCCAGUUUUGGGGGACUAGGGGCUGGUGAGGAGUCUGUGCCCUCCGGACCUGCCAUGGUGGCGGAUUCUUUACCAGCUGAGCUACCAGGGAAGCCCAAGUCAUAAAGAUAACUAAAAACAGAAGAGAAUAACAGAUACUACCUAUUCAUUUAUAACUUUCUAAAGAUCACUCCAAAGAACAGGUAAGUUUAUUGGGUAAACUCCCUACAUUUUUUCCUUCUUGAGAUUGAAAGUGAAAGUCACUCAAGUCCUGUCUGACUCUUUGUGACCCCAUGGACUAUACACUCCAUGGAAUUCUCCAGGCCAGAAUGCUGGAGUGGGUAGCCUUUCCCUUCUCUAGGGGAUCUUCCUAAUCCAGAGAUGGAACUCAGGUCUCUCACAUUCCAGGUGGAUUCUUUCCAUCUUUCCUACAAAAGAAGCCCUUUCCCUUCUUAACUCUAACUAAAGACAUACUGUAGAUACUCCAUUUUUUUCCCCAACAUAAGAAACAACAGUCUUAUCUAAGCUCUGGCAAGUUACUAUGAGAAAAGACUAUUUCUUUUGUUCUCCUAUAAUUCUUGAUGUCAACUGCAGCUUUUCCUCUUAAUUGUAAAUUCAUAUAUAUUAAG
rnacentral:lncRNA from 1 species